rnacentral:misc_RNA from 1 species
AAGUCGUAACAAGGUUUCCGUAGGUGAACCUGCGGAAGGAUCAUUAGUGAAUACAAACGCUUGGGUGUCUCUGCUUUGGCAAGCCCCUUGCACCCUUCACAUCCGUAACACCUGUGCACUGUAAGAUGUGGUCAACCGAGUAUUGUGGUGGUCGUCCCCUCGUGGGCGAUCUCUGUGUGCUCGGAGCCCGUCUUCCCAUUUUAACAAACAAUCUUGUAGCAAAUGUCGAGUUUAUUAUAUAACCUGAUAAAACUUUCAACAACGGAUCUCUUGGCUCUC